GACGAACGCUGGCGGCGUGCCUAAUACAUGCAAGUUGAGCGCUGAAGGUUGGUACUUGUACCAACUGGAUGAGCAGCGAACGGGUGAGUAACGCGUGGGGAAUCUGCCUUUGAGCGGGGGACAACAUUUGGAAACGAAUGCUAAUACCGCAUAAAAACUUUAAACACAAGUUUUAAGUUUGAAAGAUGCAAUUGCAUCACUCAAAGAUGAUCCCGCGUUGUAUUAGCUAGUUGGUGAGGUAAAGGCUCACCAAGGCGAUGAUACAUAGCCGACCUGAGAGGGUGAUCGGCCAAAAUGGGACUGGGACACGGCCCAAACUCCUACGGGAGGCAGCAGUAGGGGAUCUUCGGCAAUGGACGGAAGUCUGACCGAGCAACGCCGCGUGAGUGAAGAAGGUUUUCGGGUCGUAAAACUCUGUUGGUAGAGAAGGACGUUGGUGAGAGUGGAAAGCUCAUCAAGUGACGGUAACUACCCAGAAAGGGACGGCUAACUACGUG
rnacentral:rRNA from 1 species